UACUCAGCCAUAAACCAAGAUAGCUUCCCCAUACCACUAUCUGCCGGAGAACUACAAGUGAAAAACUUGAAACUCUAAGGACUUGACGGUGCCCCACACCGACCUAGAGGAGCCUGUCCUUUAAUCGAUACUCCACGCUUUACCCAACCCCCCCUAGCCCCCAGCCUAUAUACCGCCGUCGCCAGCCCACCUACUGAUAGAGACAAUAGUCGGCACAACAGCACCUCGCUAACACGUCAGGUCAAGGUGUAGCUAAUGGGGCGGACAGAGAUGGGCUACAUUUGCUGACCACAGCAAACACUCAACCACAAGCCACAUGAAAUAAAGGCUAACAGGCGGAUUUAGCAGUAAACUUUAGGGUAAGACCUGCCCAGUUGAACCCCGCUC
rnacentral:rRNA from 1 species